rnacentral:lncRNA from 1 species
CCCUCCUCUAAUGAAUCCUGAUCCACCAUCGAUAAAAGCCCUUGAGAUAUUGGCAAUUUUUUUCAUUGAUGUGCCCGAUGAGUUAGCACCGAUUUGGCAUCAGAAGUGAUGUAAUCCACCCUGAUCUUCCCUCCACAAUUUUCUCUAAGUCUCAUGGUGUUGCCCAGCUAUGCAACCUAAGAGAGGGGGUGAAUUGGGUUCUUAAAAAGAUUAAGUGAAAAUUAUGUCACAAAAAGUGCCUUAGAUGAGAUAUGUGAUGUGUAGUGGC